rnacentral:rRNA from 1 species
AGGGAAUAUUGGGCAAUGGGCGCAAGCCUGACCCAGCAACGCCGCGUGAGGGAAGAAGGUCUUCGGAUUGUAAACCUCUGUCCUUGGUGAAAAGUAAGAGAUGGUAGCCAAGGAGGAAGCUCCGGCUAACUACGUGCCAGCAACCGCGGUAAUACGUAGGGAGCGAGCGUUGUCCGGAAUGAUUGGGCGUAAAGGGCGUGUAGGCGGCCGUUUAAGUCUGGAGUGAAAUUCCUGUUUUUAAGGUAGGAACUGCUUUGGAAACUGGACAGCUUGAGUGCAGGAGAGGUUAUCGGAAUUCCCGGUGUAGCGGUGAAAUGCGUAGAGAUCGGGAGGAACACCAGUGGCGAAGGCGGGUAACUAGACUGCAACUGACGCCGAGGCGCGAAAGUGUGGGGAGCAAACAG